rnacentral:rRNA from 1 species
UACGGAGGGGGCGAGCGUUAUUCGGAAUUAUUGGGCGUAAAGGGCGCGUAGGCGGCUGAACAAGUCAAAGGUGAAAUCCCUCGGCUCAACUGAGGAACUGCCUUUGAAACUGUUCGGCUUGAGGCCGGGAGGGGGUAGCGGAAUUCCCGGUGUAGAGGUGAAAUUCGUAGAGAUCGGGAGGAACACCAGUGGCGAAGGCGGCUACCUGGCUGACAACUGACGCUGAGACUCGAAAGCAUGGGGAGCAAACAGG